UACAGAAAAGCGCUUAAAAAGUCUCAAGGUAAUCUUCUGUCUGCCUAAUUGCGUAAGUCUUGAAAUAAUAUCCUUUGCCAAGUAAUUAACUGUGUAAUUUAAGAAUAAAAGUGCAUGGCCAAUGAGGUGGAAAAUCAGAGUAUUUAUCCGAUAGUAGUUCGGAGAAAGAAAGGAGGCAGUUGACCAGACAAAAUAUUGCCCACGUUUUGGCACGUAGACAGCACGUAUUUGCACGUACGGCGGGUUGUUCCCAUGGCUUACCGUAUCAACCAUACGGUGAUUUACAUCAUUCAUCAUGCCUUGCAGAGGAGAUAGGCGCCGCCAGGGGACUAAUUAUAAAUGCCUAUUGAGAUUGUCUCAAUUGGCAUAACAGGAUGUGCUGCCCCUACGGCUGAUUAAAAAGCUAUGAGAUGAUGAUGAUGAAUAAGUAAUGAAACAAAUAAUCAUCGUAUGGCCACAGCAAGUAAAUUUUAUAUUUUUAUUUAUUUUCAAGCUAGACUCCAUAAACGUCGUAACACGUUUUGAAGUGACAAAACGUGGCAUUCAUUCCAGAAAGACAUGAACUAGUGUGUGGUACAUCCCCGUAGAGGAAAAAUAAUUUUUUUCUAGAAUCAGUCGAAGAUUAAUAAGUGCGUUGAUGUUAUCCAUAAAAUUUAUGUGCUGUAGCCUAUGCCACCGUAAUUUCCAUAUUUUCUGCUUCUGUGCAAAUGUUUAAACCCCAUUGGUCAGAAGUAGAGCGAAAGGACCAAUCACAGCCUGUACAGAAACAGCUUAAUUAUAUUAUAAAAGAUGGCGGUGGUCUCUUGACGGUUGAUGUGUCCCUGUGUGAAUUUGGACAUCGUAGGUGCAACAGUUACUGCAGACAGAAAGAAAAAAGUCAUUUUAUGCUCCUCAAGGUGCUGUGACAGGGCAUCCCUUUUACAAGAACAGCUGUCGCGGUACAGGAUCCCUAAACAGACUCUGGCUAACUACACACAGUGCAUUGCAUUGGUCAUUGCCAGUGUUAUGAUAAACAAGUACAUAAUUUGUCCAGUUGUACACAUGUACAGGUGACUGUUCAUUGAUGGGGUGAGCAGGUGCCUUGAGAGAAGAAAAGAAAGGCUGGAUCUUCAUUCGAGGCCUUUCCAUGCAUGAGCAUCCUACAGGCCCCGGAGGGCACACCGUGCCGGCCACUCCAGGUCUAUGGAGAAGCGAUCAAAGAGCAAAUGCAGACGAGGACGCCAAGCUACCCCGUAUCUACAGUAUGUUCAACCUCCCCACAUGAGCCACCCCCAUCUGCGCGAGACAACCUUGAGAAUGUGUUUCAGGGUCAGCACUCAGUCAGAGCUCACCAGCAGAACUUUGCAUCAAGGACAACACAGAACCCAUUCCAGAACUUUGUUUCAGAACCCAUCCAAGAACUUAAUUUCACAGUCGACACAGACUGCAGUAUUGACACUGUAUCUUCAUCCCGAAUUUUACAAGAAACAUAUACACUUAUGAUCCACAAACUGCAGUAGUGACACUAUCAUUCCAAUUUGAAUAGACCUUCAUUGUUGGUGUAGUUCUUUUACACCUUCAAAUCUUCAAUGUCUGGUCUCUGUAGGCCAAAAUGUUUAUUGCCACUCCUGAACUUUACAAGCCACAGAACUAACGAUGGAUGUCUUGCGGUGAAACUAUAAUUAUUUAAGCUUUCAGCACUAUACCACCUUAGUAGGUUUGUUA